UGAAGCCUUUUUGCCAUAAGCGAGGUAUAGAGUUCCUACGUUCGAAAAUUUUAAAUAAUUCGUAGGAACUUAAUACCGUGCUCUUGGAGGGCUGUUGUUC
rnacentral:pre_miRNA from 3 species